GCUGCUUAUCAUUCCUUUUCCUCUCAUCUUGGCAUGGAAACAUGUCGCUCUUUCUUCUUGCUAUUUUCUUGAAUCUUUUCUGCAUUUUACUCUCUGUUUCUUCCUAAAUUCACCUUCCUAAUCCUUUCCUUACUCUUCUUUUGUUUCACAGGAAAUUAAGUGAUGUGGAAAUGCUUCUGGUAUACAGUUUCUGUGAAGACAAAACGGCGCGAUUGAGUUGUGUUGUUGCAAGGUUAAAACUUCACUUCGUGGGGUGCAACUCACGCCAUGAUUACAAAUAGUUUUCAAACUGAGAAGCUUCUGGAAGUAUGGAAUCAUUGCAUAGUUUCCUAUCUAUCUCGCAAUGAUGAUAAUAAGGCGAAUGCGAUUGGCAGAAGGAUUUGUUCUGUUUCACAAAAUUGAGUUGCGAGAUGUAUCUCGUUUCCCAGUCUUUUGACGGGCAUGUUUUGUGGAAUAGAAUAAGGAUCUCUGUUCUGAAUGAUCGUACACCCUUGUCUGAGAAAUAGUUCGUCUCGUUUGGAAAGUUGCCGGGACUAAAUGAAGUUAAAAUAAUCUCGGGACGGGUAAAUUAUGUCUAUGGGGGCCGAAUGAAUUAGUUAAAAGGAUCACUAGACUGUCGAUACUGAUGGUGAGCGCGAAUAUCCCACGUUUUGGGUGUGCUCGACUAAAUCUGACCGGGCACACACUUAAUUUGUCACUAAAAAAAACCAAACCAAAGGGAUUAUUCCAUAAGCUGAGGACAACCCAUGCAUUGCGAAUUUAAGGGGAGCCCUAGUCCAAAUAAUGUUUUUCUGGUACCCAGAAAAAAAAUUAAAAUCGCGUUGACAGACGUCAUCAUUAUUUGGACUAGGGGAGCCCAUGUCUGCCCCUGCCUAUGGAACCAUGACCAGUAUGGAUUUACAUUUAAGAAGGCCAAUUUGUAGCUUCCCAACUCCCAUAAUCAAGGUUCUUCAUUCUGGAUACCCACGGC
rnacentral:lncRNA from 1 species